UAGUCAAAUGUGGUGUCUGCAACGAAGC
rnacentral:piRNA from 1 species